GACCUCUGUGUGCACUGGGGACAAUACGCACCGCCACUAGUAUACUUCCGUCCACUCUGGUCGAGGUUUCUCUUCCGGACACUGGAGACAGGGUUCGAUACGGUGUACGCUGACAGUGACCCUAUAAACCCCCAACAGAAAGAAGAAGUCUACUGUCACACUGACAUUCGGGACUUCUGCGCUAGCCUUCGUUGGGUGUGGAUGUCUGUCUUUCGCCUGAGUAUCAGUGAUACAUUUCCCCCGUUCUCCCUGGGACGCUUGUCCUUGAUUAUUUCGCCCGCCGGGCACUACAGGAGGGGCACCUGUUCAUCGGCUCACUUUUAGCCAGCUCCAUUUUUUCCCGCUCUGUGGAUAGUUCUUUAUCGGUGUUUGAUGGGGAGCUGGUUACUGGACUCAAGCGGGGGUCCUGCUGUGCUGGGGGUUGACAAAGAUCUAAUUGGAAACUUCAAGUUUCUAUCUCUGUUUACAAAGGAACUUUUGUUCCUUUUCUUUCAUCGCCCAGCCUUGGACAACACAUCUUCCUCGUACCAUCGAGAAGUCGGGAUCGAUACGUCUUAUACUGUCAGUGGCUCUGAUAAACACAAUAAAGAAAGAAAAAGAAGAAUCAAGAGAAACAUUUUACGCCAGAUUAAAAGGGGAGGAGGUUGCCAAGUGGUAAUAUGGAGCAUGACUUUUAUAUUUUGAAUGACAGCACAGUAGUUUAUAAGGAAUCUAUCAAGAUGAAGACUGACUUUUCAAUUUCAGUCAUCUUUUGCCCUCCACAAGAGAGAAACUGCAAAAUCAUUCCACAGUGACAGAAGCAACCAUGAAAUACCUAUGGAAUCUGAUGACACAGUCACAAAAGGCAGGUGAUCUUGUUUCAGAUUAGUGUACCAUUUUAAUCAUUCUAGUCAUACUCAGUUCUUGUACAGAAAUAUUGUAGUAUGGUAUGGUUUUAGCACACCGUAUAUUUAACCCCUUGACUGUCGCAACCCCCAAUCCUGAGGUGUCUCCUGGUGUCACAAAAUUUAAAAAAAAAAAAAACUAUUUUUUCUUAUGAAAUGAUAGAGAAUCUUUUCCCGAUUGUAAUGACACCAAAAAAACGAAAUUUGAUGGAAAACUGACGGAAUUACACUCUCGCAAAGUUAAUGACCUUGGCGAUAUUUACAAAUCGGCGAUUUCGCCCACUUUGAGCCCUGUUUUCGGCUAAUUCCAUUGUUCCAGUCGACCAAACUCAUAGCUAUUUCUUUAGAACUCCAUUUUUUUCUAUCGAUUGAGUACAAGAAACUGCCCAUUUACCAAUUUCAACUACCCAAUAACGUGGUCAGAAAUUUGCAAUUUGGCCAA